UACGAAGGGGGCGAGCGUUGUUCGGAUUUACUGGGCGUAAAGGGCGCGUAGGCGCUUGUCAGUCAGGCGUGAAAGCCCCGGGCUCAACCUGGGAACGGCGCUUGGGACGGCGAGGCUGGAGUUCGGGAGAGGAGAGUGGAAUUCCCAGUGUAGAGGUGAAAUUCGUAGAUAUUGGGAAGAACACCGGUGGCGAAGGCGGCUCUCUGGACCAUAACUGACGCUGAUGCACGAAAGCUGGGGGAGCAAACAGG
rnacentral:rRNA from 1 species